AGAGUUUGAUCCUGGCUCAGGAUGAACGCUAGCGGCAGGCCUAACACAUGCAAGUCGAGGGAGGAGCUUUCGGGCUUCGACCGGCGUACGGGUGCGUAACGCGUAUACAAUCUGCCUUUCACAUAGGGAUAGCCCGAAGAAAUUUGGAUUAAUACCUAAUGGUAUAUAGGAGUGGCAUCACAUUUAUAUUAAAGCUGAGGCGGUGAAAGAUGAGUAUGCGUUCUAUUAGCUAGUUGGAGAGGUAACGGCUCCCCAAGGCGACGAUAGAUAGGGGUUCUGAGAGGGAUGUCCCCCACACUGGUACUGAGAUACGGACCAGACUCCUACGGGAGGCAGCAGUGAGGAAUAUUGGACAAUGGUCGGAAGACUGAUCCAGCCAUGCCGCGUGCAGGAUGACGGCCUUAUGGGUUGUAAACUGCUUUUGUAAGGGAAGAAUAAGGAGUACGUGUACUUUGAUGACGGUACCUUACGAAUAAGCAUCGGCUAACUCCGUGCCAGCAGCCGCGGUAAUACGGAGGAUGCGAGCGUUAUCCGGAUUUAUUGGGUUUAAAGGGUGCGUAGGUGGGCUAUUAAGUCAGUGGUGAAAGUUUGUCGCUCAACGAUAAAAUUGCCGUUGAAACUGGUGGUCUUGAGUAUGGAUGAAGUAGGCGGAAUGCGUGGUGUAGCGGUGAAAUGCAUAGAGAUCACGCAGAACUCCGAUUGCGAAGGCAGCUUACUAAGGCAUAACUGACACUGAAGCACGAAAGCGUGGGUAUCAAACAGGAUUAGAUACCCUGGUAGUCCACGCAGUAAACGAUGAUUACUAGGAGUUUGCGAUAUAGUGUAAGCUCUACAGCGAAAGCGUUAAGUAAUCCACCUGGGGAGUACGCCGGCAACGGUGAAACUCAAAGGAAUUGACGGGGGCCCGCACAAGCGGAGGAACAUGUGGUUUAAUUCGAUGAUACGCGAGGAACCUUACCCGGGCUUGAAUUGCAGAGGAAGGAUUUAGAGAUAAUGACGCCCUUCGGGGUCUCUGUGAAGGUGCUGCAUGGUUGUCGUCAGCUCGUGCCGUGAGGUGUCGGCUUAAGUGCCAUAACGAGCGCAACCCCUGUCUACGGUUGCCAUCAGGUAAUGCUGGGAACUCCGUAGAGACUGCCGUCGUAAGGCGUGAGGAAGGUGGGGAUGACGUCAAAUCAGCACGGCCCUUACAUCCGGGGCGACACACGUGUUACAAUGGUAGGGACAAAGGGCAGCUACCUGGCGACAGGAUGCGAAUCUCUAAACCUUAUCACAGUUCGGAUCGGAGUCUGCAACUCGACUCCGUGAAGCUGGAUUCGCUAGUAAUCGCGCAUCAGCCAUGGCGCGGUGAAUACGUUCCCGGGCCUUGUACACACCGCCCGUCAAGCCAUGGGAGCCGGGGGUGCCUAAAGUCCGUAACCGUUGAGGAUCGGCCUAGGGUAAAACUGGUGACUGGGGCUAAGUCGUAACAAGGUAGCCGUACCGGAAGGUGCGGCUG
rnacentral:rRNA from 1 species